GCUCGAGUGGCGAACGGGUGAGUAACACGUGAGUAACCUGCCCUUGACUUUGGGAUAACUUCAGGAAACUGGGGCUAAUACCGGAUAGGAGCUCCUGCUGCAUGGUGGGGGUUGGAAAGUUUCGGCGGUUGGGGAUGGACUCGCGGCUUAUCAGCUCGUUGGUGGGGUAGUGGCUUACCAAGGCUUUGACGGGUAGCCGGCCUGAGAGGGUGACCGGCCACAUUGGGACUGAGAUACGGCCCAG
rnacentral:rRNA from 1 species